rnacentral:lncRNA from 1 species
AAUCUGUUCCAAAGCAGACUUAGACCCACUGAAGCUCAUGGGGACUUCCUGGGUCUUUGCUGUUGCUCUCCUAGGUCAUCAAAGCAAUACCACAUGGCAGUUUCCUACCGUGGAGCCUUUGAAGGAUGACAGAUCCAGGGAUGACAGAGCGACUUCAUCCACGAGGGGACACCCCAAGUUCCUGUGGGGCACCAGCUGGGCUCUUCCUCACCAAAGGUACCUCAGGGCACCUUGCAAAUAUGUUUGAUGUUUUUCCUUUCCCGUUGUUGAAGAGUGGCUGCAGAAGCAAGAGAAUAAGGUAGGGAGCUGCUGCUGCUGCUGCUAAGUCUCUUCAGUCGUGUCCAACUCUGUGGGACCCCAUAGACGGCAGCCCACCAGGCUCCUCCGUCCCUGGGAUUCUCCAGGCAAGAAUACUGGAGUGGGUUGCCAGUUCCUUCUCCAAGGGUAGGGAGAGGAGAUAAUAAUUACCAAGCUUUGUGGGUGUUUCUGUGAUGUGUGCCUAGGUCAUGUGUGUGUGUGUGUGUGUCUGUGUCUGUGUGUGUGUAACAGGAAGAAGGAGGGAGGAGAGGGAACAGGGAAAAGGGAGAGGGAGAGGAAGAUGGGAAGAAAAAGAGAGAAACCUAAAGAACCGUAGACCAAG